CCCAAAUACCACUUCUGGGAGCUCCUAGUUCAUUGCUUUCAUCUUACAAUGUCCAGUCUCCUGAAGAGUCCAAACAGUCCUCCCAGACUCCACCCCGUGCCUGUCUUCCGUAGACUCCAAGUCACCAAGCACCGCCUGGUAAUUUACAUGUUCGCCUCUUUCACCACCCCAUCCCCAACUGUGAGCAGCUUCAGUGGACCUGGACCACAGUGCCCUCUGACUCCCUGGCCGACAACAUUAGGCUGACUGGCUAAUUGAAACAGAAUUGGGAUAUUUUCAUCUGUCUUCUGAGCCCUGUCUGGAAGGAAGUUCUGUGAUCAAAACACUCAAGUACACGGGCCUAGCGGAUAUAUCCACAAGCACCCCCUUCUGCACUGCUGUACUCUGAACAGGACUCUAAGAAGAAAUGGCCCAUGGGGGGACAAUCUCAGUCUUGGUUUAUUCAGCUAAGGAGAAGGUAAAUAGCAGGCAUCUUCAGGGUGCACAGUGAACAGAAACCCCAUCAGUCAGCAGCUCCUGUCUCUGCAGAUCAUGUCUCUCCCAUUGCCUUCCUCCCCAACAAGCCUUCUUUCUG